rnacentral:lncRNA from 1 species
AGAGAGACCAGAGAGCCAGUCCAACCCAGUCCAUCACCUGGAGGCUGGAGAACCACGAGGCUGUUGCCUGUUCGUCCCCCUCUUCUGAGAGGUCCAGGUCACCUGCUCUGGGAGAAGCCAGUUGCCAUGUUGUAAGGACACUCAAGCAGCCCAUGGAAUGACUCACAUGCUGAAGAACUGAGCCCUCCCUCCUUCCAACAGCCAGGGAGGAACUAGGGCUUCUUGCCAAUAACCAUGUGAAGAAGCUUGGAAAUGGAUUCUCCCCCAAAUGAGUCUUCAGAUUACUUUAGACUAACAUCUUGACUGCAACCUCUAGAAAGACCCUGAGCCAGGAUCACCAAGCUCACAGAAGCUAAGAGUUAAUAAAUGUUUGAAUUAA